GUGAAUCAUCGAAUCUUUGAACGCACAUUGCGCCCUAUAGUAUUCUGUAGGGCAUGCCUGUUCGAGCGUCAUUUAACCCCUCAAGCCCAGCUUGGUAUUGGGUGCUUGUCCCGCCUCCUGCGCGGCGACUCACCUCAAAGUCAUUGGCAGCCCGCAAUCGCCGGCCGUGAGCGCAGCACAGACGCGCUUGUGGAAUCCGGCGGCUCGGCUCUCCAAAAGCUUAUUUCAACCACAAUUGACCUCGGAUCAGGUAGGGAUACCCGCUGAACUUAAGCAUAUCAAUAAGCGGAGGA
rnacentral:misc_RNA from 1 species